CGGCAGCCCAAGUGAUGGCCGCUAUUAUUGGGCCUAAAGCGUCCGUAGCUGGCCGUUCAGGUCCGUCGGGAAAUCCACUGGCUUAACCAGUGGGCGUCCGGCGGAAACCGUUCGGCUUGGAACAGGGAGACCAGAGGGGUACGUCCGGGGUAGGAGUGAAAUCCCGUAAUCCUGGACGGACCAUCGGUGGCGAAAGCGCCUCUGGAGAACUGAUUCGACAGUGAGGGACGAAAGCUGGGGUCUCGAACCGGAUUAGAUACCCGGGUAGUCCCAGCCGUAAACGAUGCUCGCUAGGUGUGUCGCAGGCUACGAGCCUGCGAUGUGCCGUAGGGAAGCCGAGAAGCGAGCCGCCUGGGAAGUACGUCCGCAAGGAUGAAACUUAAGGAAUUGGCGGGGGAGCACUACAACCGGAGGAGCCUGCGGUUUAAUUGGACUCAACGCCGGACAUCUCACCAGCUCCGACAGCAGUGAUGACAAUCAGGUUGAUGACCUUAUUCGACGCUGCUGAGAGGAGGUGCAUGGCCGCCGUCAGCUCGUACCGUGAGGCGUCCUGUUAAGUCAGGCAACGAGCGAGACCCGCACCUCUAGUUGCCAGCAGCAUCUCGCGAUGGCCGGGUACACUAGGGGGACUGCCGCUGCCAAAGCGGAGGAAGGAACGGGCAACGGUAGGUCAGUAUGCCCCGAAUGAGCUGGGCUACACGCGGGCUACAAUGGCCAGGACAAUGGGACGCUACCCCGAGAGGGGGCGCUAAUCUCCUAAACCUGGUCGUAGUUCGGAUUGUGGGCUGAAACUCGCCCACAUGAAGCUGGAUUCGGUAGUAGUCGCGUGUCAGUAGCGCGCGGCGAAUACGUCCCUGCCCCUUGCACACAA
rnacentral:rRNA from 1 species